rnacentral:rRNA from 1 species
AUUGAACGCUGGCGGCAGGCCUAACACAUGCAAGUCGAGCGGAUGACGGGAGCUUGCUCCUUGAUUCAGCGGCGGACGGGUGAGUAAUGCCUAGGAAUCUGCCUGGUAGUGGGGGACAACGUUUCGAAAGGAACGCUAAUACCGCAUACGUCCUACGGGAGAAAGCAGGGGACCUUCGGGCCCUGCGCUAUCAGAUGAGCCUAGGUCGGAUUAGCUAGUUGGUGGGGUAAUGGCUCACCAAGGCGACGAUCCGUAACUGGUCUGAGAGGAUGAUCAGUCACACUGGAACUGGGACACGGUCCAGACUCCUACGGGAGGCAGCAGUGGGGAAUAUUGGACAAUUGGCGAAAGCCUGAUCCAGCCAUGCCGCGUGUGUGAAGAAGGUCUUCGGAUUGUAAAGCACUUUAAGUUGGGAGGAAGGGCAGUAAGUUAAUACCUUGCUGUUUUGACGUUACCGACAGAAUAAGCACCGGCUAACUCUGUGCCAGCAGCCGCGGUAA